UACGUAGGGCGCAAGCGUUGUCCGGAAUUAUUGGGCGUAAAGAGCUCGUAGGCGGCCUGUUACGUCUGCUGUGAAAUCCCGGGGCUUAACCCCGGGCGUGCAGUGGAUACGGGCAGGCUGGAGGCAGGCAGGGGAGAACGGAAUUCCCGGUGUAGCGGUGAAAUGUGCAGAUAUCGGGAGGAACACCGGUGGCGAAGGCGGUUCUCUGGGACGGUACUGACGCUGAGACGCGAAAGCGUGGGGAGCAAACAGG
rnacentral:rRNA from 1 species